rnacentral:snoRNA from 1 species
UUCCAUGAUGAUAAAGGGUCCGUGACCCGAACUUUAAACCCAGCUCGUCGAAUGUCUUUUUGGCAUACUGAGAGUAACUUUAAAUCUGAAC